UCCUUGUUAGUAUAGUGGUGAGUAUCCCACCUGUCACGUGGGAGUCCGGGGUUUGAUUCCCUGACGGGGAG
rfam:Cricetulus griseus cell line CHO-K1, whole genome shotgun sequence.